ensembl:lincRNA
AUGUUCUCUACCCCUGCUGUGAAGCUGAGGAGGCCUGGCCCCAAGAUCAACUGCCUCUAUCCCCAGCUCCCUGUCCCUGCCUCUAUCCCCAGCCUGGGGCAGAGGAAGCACCAGCCCUUUCAUCCCAGGAGAUCAAAGCAGCCUGUGCAGUGGACUCCAGAGAAAGCAAGGCACGCAGGCAGUGGAUCAAGGAGCUUGGUGAGUCUGGAACUUUGGCUGCCUGGAAAGCCACCCAUCCAUCAGUUACAAUCAAUCAGAGAACACUUAUUAAUUGCCUGUCUCUGCUGUGGCUCCAUUUUUGGCACCCCACGCUCUCAUUUGGUUUGGUGAAGGGAGUGUCUACCUUGAGCCAGUUGAGGGUAACCUCCCAGUGCCCCUUCCUAAGCAGGUGGAACACAGCAGGCCUCUAGCUACUGAAGAUGGAAUUAACCACCCUUCAACAUAAAACUGGGGAGAGAGAGCAACAAAAGGAGGGGAGAAUGAGGGUGAUUUCAUCCCCCUCCCCAAACCUUCCCGCCCUUUGUCCAUCCCAGGAUUAGGUUAACCCCUAGUGUGCCAGAAGCAACCAGAGCUCCAGGCAAACUCUCCCUCCUCUGGGUUGAAUGUGGAUGUGUGGAAUCAAAGGAUUCCCAGAAGCACAGAUCCCUGUGAUCAAGCAAUUCCUGGAGUCCAAGCUUCUGUAUGUCCUGGGCUUCCCAGGCCGUCCAGUGUGAGAUGUAGACCUCUUACUUCCAUAAGGCCACUCUGGGGGAAGGGGGCUCAGUCAUGGCCCUGUGAAGUGGCAAUGACACCAGUGAGCCCUGGUAUUUCCCCUCUCCUCCUUAGGAGAGAUGCACUCCAGGAUUCAGGGGUGGGGACACCUCCUCCCCACACACCUGUUUUCACAAACUGCUCUCCCUGGCAUCCGCCAUCCAGCCAGAUUUGUGGAGCUCCAGCAGUGAGCUGGCUGGUAGGAAAAGGGGCACAGAAAUAAUGAGGUCAGGCUCCUGCCUUUCAGAAGAUCACCCAAACCCCAAAUCCCGACAGCCAAGCUGACCCCCUCUAACAAACUGCCUGGCAACUCUGACUGGAAGAUUCACUGGAAAUCUCAUAUUCUUGCCCCAGGGGGAACUAGUCUCUGUAUUCCCACCCCUCUAUCCUGAAACUGCAAAGUGAGGACCAUGUGCUUCAGUCAAGCUCCCCUUUGCCCCCCUCACUCUGCUAGGGGCAGAGGUCAUCAUCUCAGGUUUCUUCCCAGAGGGCUACAAGGACCCUUCCCCCACCUUGACCCAAAUUGGGUGUCCCACUGGGAACCCAGUAGCUUCCCCAGGGACACAAAGGGUUAAAUCUAGGCAAGGGGAAUCGGUCGGAUUUGCCUCCUAAACGCAUUUUCCAGUUCAUUCCCCAGCACAAUAUGCCUGGGCUGGUCCCAACCUCCGCCCCCACCCCACCCGUCAGAGUGGGCCACUGUGGGCCACCUCAGGGUCCUGCGCUGUCUUAACCCUUUGGCUGCUGGCAGCCCGCACCUCGAGGAAGGAAGGAUACGCUCGGCACCCUCGUGGCCCCUCGGGAAAGUGGGUCAAGCAGCCACCUGGCUGGCACGAAGCCCGUGGCACCUCCUCCCGGGAGAACCCCUAGCAUUAGAAGCGGAGUUCCAAGGCGGAGCCCAGUCCCGCGCAAGGCCGAGUUUUCGAUCCCCAGCAGUUCGGGCCUCACCCUCCAGGGAAGGAACCGCAGGUGAGCGAGAAACCGCCUCUGCAGCAGGAGCUGGCUCUCCGCGCCCGCGGUGGAGCGAUGUGCGGCGGGAGGGGGCCGAGAGCCCGAGACCGUCUGGCAAGGGGACGACGAAAGAAAGGAAGCCCCCCUGCCAUCCCCCAAACCCACAGCCCACCAGCUCCUAGACUGACGCCCUCCCCCUGGGGCUGUUGUCUCACACCCCGAGACGGUGAUUACGGUGAUUAUUUUGCAUUUAUGUAACAUGCAGUGUUUCCAAACUGCUUCUCGAGCUGAGAACUGGUUAUUAAAUAAAUAGAACGCUAUU